CCAAUAGCGUAUAUUAAAGUUGUUGCAGUUAAAAAGCUCGUAGUUGAAUUUCGGGGUUCAUACGUUGGUCGGGCUCUUUUGGUCUGUACUGGCGUAAUGGAUUCCUACCCUCUGAAUAACCGGAAUGUCAUUAAUUUGGUGCGCCGGGGAAGCAGGACUGUUACCUUGAAAAAAUUAGAGUGCUUAAAGCAGGCUAUCGCCUGAAUACAUUAGCAUGGAAUAAUGAAAUAGGACGGCAUGGUUCUAUUUUGUUGGUUUCUAGGAUCACCGUAAUGAUUAAUAUGGAUAGUUGGGGGCAUUAGUAUUCAAUUGUCAGAGGUGAAAUUCUUGGAUUUAUUGAAGACUAACUUCUGCGAAAGCAUUUGCCAAGGAUGUUUUCAUUAAUCAAGAACGAAAGUUAGGGGAUCGAAGACGAUCAGAUACCGUCGUAGUCUUAACCAUAAACUAUGCCGACUAGGGAUCGGACGAUGUUAAUUUUUUAAUGACUCGUUCGGCGCCUUACG
rnacentral:rRNA from 1 species